rnacentral:rRNA from 1 species
GACGAACGCUGGCGGCGUGCUUAACACAUGCAAGUCGAACGGAAAGGCCCUGCGUUUGUGGGGUGCUCGAUUGGCGAACGGGGGAGUGACACGUGAGUAACCUGCCCUUGACUUUGGGGUAACUUCAGGAAACUGGGGCUAAUACCGGAUAGGAUCUCCUGCUGCAUUGUGGGGGUUGGAAAGUUUCGGCGGUUGGGGAUGGACUCGCGGCUUAUCAGCUUGUUGGUGGGGUAGUGGCUUACCAAGGCUUUGACGGGUAGCCGGCCUGAGAGGGUGACCGGCCACAUUGGGACUGAGAUACGGCCCAGACUCCUACGGGAGGCAGCAGUGGGGAAUAUUGCACAAUGGGCGGAAGCCUGAUGCAGCAACGCCGCGUGCGGGAUGACGGCCUUCGGGUUGUAAACCGCUUUCGCCUGUGACGAAGCGUGAGUGACGGUAAUGGGUAAAGAAGCACCGGCUAACUACGUG